rnacentral:rRNA from 1 species
GCUGGUGAUUUAGUCGCGCGUGAACCACCUCUUCCCAUUCCGAACAGAGAAGUGAAAUCGCGCAGCCUCGAUGAUAUUCGUUGCUUCGGCUUCUGAGAAAGUAGAGUUCGCCAGCA